rnacentral:rRNA from 1 species
AUUGAACGCUGGCGGCAGGCCUAACACAUGCAAGUCGAGCGGAGCGGCGGACGGGUGAGUAAUUCCUAGGAAUCUGUCUGGUAGUGGGGGAUAACGUCCGGAAUCGGGCGCUAAUAUCGCACACUAUCAGAUGAGCCUAGGGCGGACUAGCUAGUUGGUGGGGUAAAGGCCUACAAAGUCGACGAUCCGUAACUGGUCUGAGAGGAUGAUCAGUCACACUGGAACGGAGACACGGGCCAGACUCCUGCGGGAGGCAGCAGUGGGGAAUAUUGGAGAAUGGGCGAAAGCCUGAUCCAGCCAUGCCGCGUGUGUGAAGAAGGUCUUCGGAUUUUAAAGCACUUUAAGUUGGGAGGCGUUACCAACAGAAUAAGCACCGGCUAACUUCGUGCCAGCAGCCGCGGUAAUUC